rnacentral:rRNA from 1 species
CCUACGGGGGGCUGCAGUUGGGAAUCUUGCACAAUGGGGGAAACCCUGAUGCAGCGACGCCGCGUGGAGGAUGAAGGAUUUAGGUCUGUAAACUCCUUUUAUCGGGAAAGACUUAGGACGGUACCCGAUGAAUAAGCACCGGCUAACUACGUGCCAGCAGCCGCGGUAAGACGUAGGGUGCAAGCGUUGUCCGGAUUUACUGGGCGUAAAGAGCGCGUAGGCGGCUUGUUAAGUGUGAAGUGAAAUCUCCAGGGCUCAACCCGGAAACUGCUUCGCAUACUGGCAAGCUGGAGGGAUGCAGAGGUAAGUGGAAUUCCUGGUGUAGCGGUGAAAUGCGUUGAUAUCAGGAGGAACACCCAUGGCGAAGGCAGCUUACUGGGCAUCUCCUGACGCUGAGGCGCGAAAGCGUGGGUAGCAAACAGGAUUAGAUACCCGUGUAGUC